rnacentral:rRNA from 1 species
CCGGCGCACGGGUGAGUAACACGUAUCCAACCUGCCGUCUACUCUUGGCCAGCCCUCUGAAAGGAAGAUUAAUCCAGGAUGGGAUCAUGAGUUCACAUGUCCGCAUGAUUAAAGGUGUUCCGGUAGACGAUGGGGAUGCGUUCCAUUAGAUAGUAGGCGGGGUAACGGCCCACCUAGUCUUCGAUGGAUAGGGGUUCUGAGAGGAAGGUCCCCCACAUUGGAACUGAGACACGGUCCAA